rnacentral:misc_RNA from 1 species
AUAUUCGGGUCGACUCCCGGUUGACCCGCCUGGUGGUGGAAAACCGAGUUCCGUAACAUUCUGUCCUGCACAAAGCAUAAAGGUCUCGCCUCCUCUGCUCCCCGCCCCCCCCCUCCCCCCAAACCCCGAGAUCUUGUUCUACGCUGUGACAGUGAAUAAGACUGCAAAGAUCUAAGAGAGAAAUCAACCCAAAUGGCUAGACAAGCCUCUAGAAUCGUUAAAUCUUUGUCCUCUACGAUUUGCUUUCACAAUCCCCAUAUAUCUCCGCUCGCUCCAUCUUCUUCUUCUGCAUAUUCUCUGUUGCAGUCUCGCUCUUUCGCCGCUGCUUCUUCGCCUCCGCCGGCUGUCUUUGUGGACAAGAACACCCGUGUCAUUUGCCAAGGCAUCACCGGCAAGAACGGCACUUUUCACACUGAACAAGCCAUUGAAUAUGGCACCAAAAUGGUUGGUGGAGUGACACCUAAGAAGGGUGGGACAGAACACUUGGGACUUCCUGUUUUCAACACAGUUGCAGAAGCGAAGGCUGAAACAAAGGCUAAUGCAUCAGUGAUCUAUGUUCCUCCACCUUUUGCUGCUGCAGCUAUUAUGGAAGCCAUGGAAGCAGAAUUGGAUCUGGUUGUGUGCAUCACAGAAGGAAUCCCUCAACAUGACAUGGUUCGCGUGAAGGCUGCACUAAACAAGCAAUCAAAAACUAAACUAAUUGGUCCAAACUGCCCUGGUAUUAUCAAACCUGGAGAAUGCAAGAUUGGAAUUAUGCCUGGAUACAUUCACAAACCGGGGCGUGUAGGAAUUGUCUCUCGAUCUGGCACAUUGACUUAUGAGGCGGUCUUUCAAACAACUGCCGUUGGUCUGGGGCAAUCUACCUGUGUAGGUAUUGGUGGUGAUCCUUUCAAUGGUACAAAUUUUGUUGACUGCCUGAAGAAGUUUCUUGUAGAUCCUCAGACUGAAGGUAUCAUUCUUAUUGGUGAAAUAGGAGGCACUGCAGAAGAGGAUGCUGCUGCUCUGAUUAAGGAAAGUGGAACUCAAAAGCCUAUUGUUGCAUUUAUAGCUGGACUAACUGCUCCACCAGGGCGUCGCAUGGGUCAUGCUGGAGCUAUUGUAUCUGGGGGAAAGGGUACUGCCCAAGACAAAAUCAAAACUCUAAAAGCAGCUGGCGUCACAGUGGUGGAAUCUCCAGCAAAGAUUGGUGCUGCCAUGCUUGACGUGUUCAAAGAGAGGGGUCUUGUGAAUUAGUGUUUUCAUUUUGUGCUCACAUUUCAGUGAGUGGUUUGAUACACCUUUUCUUUUGAUGUAUCAAUUUGUUUAAACUUAAUCGAGGGAAAACGUGUUACCCUGAUUUUCUUGGACUGCCUGAUGAGGCAAGCACCUGAAGAGACUUUGAAGCCAUAGCAUUUUCUGGUGAAUUUUUCUUGCUGGAAGCUUUAGUUAUUGUGAGUGCCAAACUUCCAGUUCAACACUAGGAGUCAAUUUGGUAUUAGUUUAUAAUAAUGUUACGGAAUGCCCCGAAAAUUCAUUAUAUUACUUUCUUGAAACUCUACAUGAAUUCAAUUAUGCAAUUAUCUUUCUUGAAUUUCAGUUCUGCAA